rnacentral:lncRNA from 1 species
GGAUGCGCGGCAUGUAUUUACCACGGAUAACGGAACCAUGCCGAUGCUCGAGCGUUCCUUAUUGCGCGCGCGAACGAGAAAACGGGACGGAGACACGCAACGUUGAAAAAAGAAACGAGGAAGAACUCGUACGGUAUCGUCAUCCGCUUGAACGAACUCUCAAAGAAUUUCUGUGGGUCGAAGAUUACGGCAUCGACGGUAAAAGUAAAAUCGCAUUCGCUGACAGCAUCGAAUAAUAACGAAUUUUCGUUGUACUGUACCGGUCGAUUGUUUUCGACGGGUAACGGUAAUCGAUAAGAAGCUACUCAUUCGAGUUGAUCUAUCUGGGAAAUUGCACCGUCGAGAGCCUGCACGAUAUCUCGAUAUCUCGAACGGUUUUGGAGGCAAUCAGAUCCGAGCCCUUUACUCGAGUCGUGUAAUUAGCAAGCAUAAUUUAAUGCGUGAAGUUUAAAUUGAAGUUUUGAGAUCGCCCUUCCGGAAGCGUGGACAAACAAGGAAGAAGUACAAAGAGGUUCAAAGAAACAUUUAAAGUGUCCAACUAUACGGCUCACGCUUUCAACGACUAUGAAAGAGUUUUUUAAAUUAAAAAUUGUCUGGUACUUGGAAUAUGAACUGGUCGACAGCCAUGUUUCAAAAUGAAAAGCAAUAUGUAAAAGAAGGAAUCUCAUUAAAACUUGUUACAGAUGAAUAUAACUGCGUUGCAACUUUUAACCGCGGACGCUUGUAUAAUUCAUUCUUUCACAUAAAUCACAGCCUGUUUUCGAGCAAUGUUACCGUAACUGCAUACAAAACGAUAACACAGUUACCUUCGCUCGCGUUUCAAGGUAUAAAAUUUCCAUAAAUUUAACCAGUCGCGAUUUAACGCUGGCUAGCGAAACUUUAAAGUCCGUUGAGAAAGUAUAAGGUUACCGCGAAUUCAACGAUAUCCGUCUUCUUCAUAGUGCGAAGGGGCAAGAAUAGAAUUGCAAACACCAGUCCGGUAAUUAACGGCAAAAGUAUUGACAAAAAAAGAAGGAAAGUUCAACGCCGUGAGUUAGAUUUAAUUAAUAACCAUCGAACGUAACCCGUCGUGGUAGUCUACCAGUCGUCGGGGAACUGCAUUUUCUAAAUUAAUUUCCGCCCGACUCGAAACCAUGUUUUCUGUCCUUGAUAUUUCCAACGAUUUCCGGCGACGAGGAAACUUGAUGACCCUUCAUGCGCUCCUAAAGCGAUUUUUAUCGUUGGAACCGAAUGGUACCGGGUCGAUACGAAAUCACAAAGAUUUCAGCUGUUGAUAAAAAUGUAUGUGCCAGUUUCAGAAAAGAACAUUCCUUUAAACCGUCUAUGACAAAGUUUUGCGAACACCUUUGAGAAGAUACUUGUGUCAGAAUUCAAUUAGAACGAGCAAAAUCGAUUCCGAUAUCAUCUUUAUAAAAAGAACGAAACCGGUUUCUGCAAAUUCUGUUAGACGGUGCGUAGUGUAUUUCGUGCUCACAAUCACAGAAACAGUUUACACCCGUUGGUCGAUUUGCACGGAAAGAGAAUGAUUCGAGUCAAAAGAAGCAGUUCACAUCACCAUAACUAAGGAUCAUUAAGCAAAUGUAGAGGAUGAUGUAUUCACAAGAUCAUUUGUACAGUCGUUGUAUAUUACGCAUGACGCCACUUCACUUUCAAUUGUAUUUUUGCAAGUUAGAAACUGGCGUAAAGUGAUCAUAAUAAAUUGUGGCAUCCUCACGACGAAGCGUUACCAUCAUAGAAAUUUCGAUCGAUGACAAUCAUCCAUUCAUAACCCAUCUCUCGGGGACAGCAAGACG